GAGUUAAAUUUUUUAUUAUUUUUAUUGUUUUUAUUGUUUGACAGAAAAAUGUUAUGUUUUAUUAAUUUUGUUUGAAAAAAUUUUUUUAAUUAUAGUUGACAGUACUGUGAAGGAUUAACUUUAUUCUUUUAAAAGAAGAUUUUUUUUAUUGUACCUUGUGUAUCAGGGUUUAUUUAUUUAUAAUUUUUAAUAAACAAUUUUCCCGAAAUUAAAAGAGCUAUGGUAUAAUAUAUUUUAAUGUUGAAUAAUUAUUUAUGAUUAUAUUAUAGUAAUGAAACGUUAUUCGUUUUUGAUUAUAUCUGGUUUCUCGAGAAAUGAAUUUAAUUCAUUGAGCAUUAGGGUUAUUAUAAUUUUUUAUUUUAACGUUUUUGUUUAAUAAUUUUUAAGGGGAUUAGCUUUUAAAAAUAUUUUUAUAAUUAAUUUUUUGCAAUUUUUUUAUAGGAUUAGAAUUUUCCAUUAAUUUUAGUAUGUUAUAAUUAUUUCAUUGUAUAUUUUAUUUUAGUUUAGGUUUAAUUUUUUUUAUCGAGGUUUUUUCUCUAAUUUUUUAGGUUAAUAAAUUAUGUUAGAAUUAGUAUAUUUUUAUGUUAGCAAAGUUGUUUGUUUUUAGUUAAGCAAAGGAACUCGGCAAGUAAGCUUUCACCUGUUUAUUAAAAACAUGUCUUUUUGUUUAUUAUUAAAGGUUUGGCCUGCCCAAUGAUUAUUAAAUGGCCGCAGUAUUUUGACUGUGCAAAGGUAGCAUAAUCAUUAGUUUCUUUAUUGGGAGCUGGAAUGAAAGGUUGGAUGAGAAGUUAACUGUCUCUGUUUAAAUUAAUUUGAAUUUUAUUUUUUAGUAAAAAAGCUUUAAUAGGAUAAGAAGACGAGAAGACCCUAUAGAGUUUAAUAUAAAUAUUAAGUUUUAUUUUAGGGUUAUUGUGUUUAUUAGUGUUUAUAUUUUGUUGGGGUGACAGAAAAAUUUAAGUAACUUUUUAUUAUUUAAACAUUAAUUAUUGGGUUUUUGAUCCUAUUUUUAGAUUAUAAGAUUAAAUUACCUUAGGGAUAACAGCGUAAUUUCUUUGGAGAGUUCUUAUUGAUAAGGAAGUUUGCGACCUCGAUGUUGGAUUAAAAUUUAUUUUCGGUGGAGAAGCUGGGAAAUUAAGUCUGUUCGACUUUUAAAAUUUUACAUGAUCUGAGUUUAAACCGGCGUGAGCCAGGUUGGUUUCUAUCUUUUAUAGGGUUAAAUGAUUUAGUACGAAAGGACCAUUCAUUUGAAUUAUAUUUUUGUUUUUGAACAUUAUUA
rnacentral:rRNA from 1 species